rnacentral:rRNA from 1 species
UACGAAGGGGGCUAGCGUUGUUCGGAAUUACUGGGCGUAAAGCGCACGUAGGCGGACUAUUAGGUCAGGGGUGAAAUCCCGGGGCUCAACCCCGGAACUGCCUUUGAUACUGGUAGUCUAGAGUCCGGAAGAGGUGAGUGGAAUUCCGAGUGUAGAGGUGAAAUUCGUAGAUAUUCGGAGGAACACCAGUGGCGAAGGCGGCUCACUGGUCCGGUACUGACGCUGAGGUGCGAAAGCGUGGGGAGCAAACAGG